rnacentral:rRNA from 1 species
GGCGGGGCGGCAGCUAACACAUGCAGUCGAGCGGUAGAGAGAAGCUUGCUUCUCUUGAGAGCGGCGGACGGGUGAGUAAUGCCUAGGAAUCUGCCUGGUAGUGGGGGAUAACGUUCGGAAACGGACGCUAAUACCGCAUACGUCCUACGGGAGAAAGCAGGGGACCUUCGGGCCUUGCGCUAUCAGAUGAGCCUAGGUCGGAUUAGCUAGUUGGUGAGGUAAUGGCUCACCAAGGCGACGAUCCGUAACUGGUCUGAGAGGAUGAUCAGUCACACUGGAACUGAGACACGGUCCAGACUCCUACGGGAGGCAGCAGUGGGGAAUAUUGGACAAUGGGCGAAAGCCUGAUCCAGCCAUGCCGCGUGUGUGAAGAAGGUCUUCGGAUUGUAAAGCACUUUAAGUUGGGAGGAAGGGCAGUUACCUAAUACGUGAUUGUUUUGACGUUACCGACAGAAUAAGCACCGGCUAACUCUGUGCCAGCAGCCGCGGUAAUACAGAGGGUGCAAGCGUUAAUCGGAAUUACUGGGCGUAAAGCGCGCGUAGGUGGUUUGUUAAGUUGGAUGUGAAAUCCCCGGGCUCAACCUGGGAACUGCAUUCAAAACUGACUGACUAGAGUAUGGUAGAGGGUGGUGGAAUUUCCUGUGUAGCGGUGAAAUGCGUAGAUAUAGGAAGGAACACCAGUGGCGAAGGCGACCACCUGGACUAAUACUGACACUGAGGUGCGAAAGCGUGGGGAGCAAACAGGAUUAGAUACCCUGGUAGUCCACGCCGUAAACGAUGUCAACUAGCCGUUGGAAGCCUUGAGCUUUUAGUGGCGCAGCUAACGCAUUAAGUUGACCGCCUGGGGAGUACGGCCGCAAGGUUAAAACUCAAAUGAAUUGACGGGGGCCCGCACAAGCGGUGGAGCAUGUGGUUUAAUUCGAAGCAACGCGAAGAACCUUACCAGGCCUUGACAUCCAAUGAACUUUCUAGAGAUAGAUUGGUGCCUUCGGGAACAUUGAGACAGGUGCUGCAUGGCUGUCGUCAGCUCGUGUCCUGAAAUGUUGGGGUUAAGUCCCGUAACGAGCGCAACCCCUGGUCCUUAGUUACCAGCCACGUAAUGGGUGGGCACUUCUAAGGGAAACUGCCCGGUGACAAACCCGGAGGAAAGGUGGGGGAUGAACGUCCAAGUCUCG